GACGAAGGUGGCAAGCGUUGUUCGGCAUCACUGGGCAUAAAGCGCACGUAUGCGGCUAAGUAAGUCGGAUGUGAAAUACCUCGGCUCAACCGAGGAACUGCGUCCGAUACUGCUUGGCUUGAGGUCCGGAGGGGAGAGUGGAAUUCCCGGUGGAGCGGUGAAAUGCGUAGAGAUCGGGAAGAACGCCGGCGGCGAAAGCGACUCUCUGGUCGGAAUCUGACGCUGAGGUGCGAAAGCUAGGGGAGCAAACGGG
rnacentral:rRNA from 1 species